rnacentral:rRNA from 1 species
GCAUGUCUCAGUACUUGCUUUAACAAGGCGAAACCGCGAAUGGCUCAUUAAAUCAGUUAUGGUUCACUAGAUCGUAAAUCCUACACGGAUAACUGUGGUAAUUCUAGAGCUAAUACGUGCAAACGGCUCGUUCCCUUGUGGAGCGAGCGCAGUUAUUAGAACAAAACCAAUCCGGCCUUCGGGUCGGUUAAAAUGGUGACUCUGAAUAACCGAAGCGGAGCGUAUGGUCUCGUACCGACGCCAGAUCUUUCAAGUGACUGCUCUAUCAGCUUGUUGCUAGGUUAUGCUCCUAGCAAGGCUUCAACGGGUAACGGGGUAUCAGGGUCCGAUACCGGAGAGGGAGCCUGAGAAACGGCUACCACAUCCAAGGAAGGCAGCAGGCGCGCAAAUUACCCACUCCCAGCACGGGGAGGUAGUGACGAAAAAUAACGAUGCGAGGGCAUAUUGCUUCUCGUAAUCGGAAUGGGUACACUUUAAAUCCUUUAACGAGGAUCUAUUGGAGGGCAAGUCUGGUGCCAGCAGCCGCGGUAAUUCCAGCUCCAAUAGCGUAUAUUAAAGUUGCUGCGGUUAAAAAGCUCGUAGUUGGAUCUGGGCAGCUGGAUGUGCGGUGCGCUUUACAGCGUUACUGCUCGUUUGGCGCCACAAGCCGGCCAUGUCUUGCAUGCUCUUCACUGCGUGUGCUUGGCGACCGGAACGUUUACUUUGAAAAAAUUAGAGUGCUCAAAGCAGGCGUAUGGCCUUGCAUAAUGGUGCAUGGAAUAAUGGAAUAGGACCUCGGUUCUAUUUUGUUGGUUAUCGGAGCUCGAGGUAAUGAUUAAGAGGAACAGACGGGGGCAUUCGUAUUGCGGCGUUAGAGGUGAAAUUCUUGGAUCGUCGCAAGACGAACCUA